UACAGAGGUCUCAAGCGUUGUUCGGAUUCAUUGGGCGUAAAGGGUGCGUAGGCGGCGCGGUAAGUCGGGUGUGAAAUCUCGGAGCUUAACUCCGAAGCUGCAUUCGAUACCGCCGUGCUUGAGGACUGGAGAGGAGACUGGAAUUUACGGUGUAGCGGUGAAAUGCGUAGAUAUCGUAAGGAAGACCAGUGGCGAAGGCGGGUCUCUGGACAGUUCCUGACGCUGAGGCACGAAGGUCAGGGGAGCAAACGGG
rnacentral:rRNA from 1 species